ACUCUGCUCUCCGUCUGCUGGAGCCCAAGAUGUUGUAUUUAUAAAUUGAAGGUAAGAUGCUCAACCAGCAAAAAAAUUAUGACCCACUUUAUUGCUGUGGUCCAGAACUGAACCUGCAAUAUCUCCAAGAUAUGGCUGUACUGUAUAAAGAGAACUUGGGUGACGGGGGUGGCGUCUGAAAGAAGACAGAAAGCUGCAGUAACACGCAAAGCAGAUUUGCCUUCAGGGAAUGUGCUCCUUGACUCUGGAUUCCAGACUUCAAUCUUUU